UACAGAGGGUGCAAGCGUUAAUCGGAAUUACUGGGCGUAAAGAGCACGUAGGUGGUCGUGUAAGUCAGAUGUGAAAUCCCCGGGCUUAACCUGGGAACUGCAUUUGAAACUACACGACUAGAGUAGGAUAGAGGAAAGUGGAAUUUCAGGUGUAGCGGUGAAAUGCGUAGAGAUCUGAAGGAACACCAGUGGCGAAGGCGACUUUCUGGAUUCAUACUGACACUGAGGUGCGAAAGCGUGGGGAGCAAACAGG
rnacentral:rRNA from 1 species